GAGCUCACUUAGGCAGCACAUAUACUAAAAUUCAGAUGAAGCAGAGAUGAGCAUGGCCCCUGCACAAGGAUGACACGCAAAUUUGUGAAGCAUUCCAUAUUAAA
ensembl:snRNA U6 U6 spliceosomal RNA